ensembl:lncRNA
GUGUAUAUACAACUCAAAAUGUAAUAUGAACAUAUUCACUGGUAAAGGUGAAGGGGAGUAGCUUGAAGAUGUCAUGUUUCAAAAUCACUUGACAUCACCCAACGUUCCUCUGGAGGCAAAACGUCCUUUAGGCUUCGGCUAUGGCUCUAGGGUUGUUGUUGUGAAGUAAUUUCGCUGAAUACAUUCCCCAUGAAGACUGUGAAUGGAAAGAGUGCCCUGCUUCCACAUGACUUGGCUGCAGCUGGUGAACCUUUUAAUCAAUGCUUGGAACAUAAAACACCUCAAAGCGUCGUCCUCCUGCACUGCCAAGGCCAACGAGAAAGAGGUUUGAAGAAUGUACUCUUGGAAAUAUUCCUACUUUAGGUAAUAGAACGUGUCGACUGUUGCUGCCUGGCUUUCUCCCACCCUCUCGAGCUGUCAAACCGAAUUGAGUCACAUCUGCUCUCUGCAUUCCUUUGAAGACGAAGAGAUGAGUUUAGCAAAUAAACCAGCUGCCUGUAGGGAAAGCCAGCACCUGUAAUGAGGGAUGUCAUUAGCCACCGACUAGACAACCAUGUCUGCAUCUCAGCCUCCAUCCGUAGCGUCCCUCACCCGUCUAGCUCACCACAGAUACCUGACCCAUCAUUCUUGGCGUCCCGCUCUAGGUUUUAAGCUCUUUUGCUGGCUCUGGUGUCUAUAUCUGUUUUGUCUCAAUUUUGCCCUCUCUAUCUCUCUUUGUGCAGCGCUCUGUCUGACAGGAUGCCUAUUUCUGAGUCACAGCCAGACUCAUGCUCCUAUGGGCCCGCUCAUUUUAUUGAUCUCUCUCAAGUCUUUUCUGUCCUCGUUAGUGAGAGAGAGCAGGCUGGGGGCUCGAUGCUGUAGUACCGCAGGCUUCUCUUUUGCUGUUGGCUGGUUGAGAAUCCAGUCCAAGUUGUGAUUGAUGAUCUCUGUGCUUCUGCCGGUGUUCAAUGGGUUGGUACCCCUGCCCAAGGGCUUUAUGAUUCUGGUGCGUGGACUUUUUAGAAUUAAAACCGUUUUGCUGAUUCUCUUGCUUGCGUAACAGACGGUUUGUCAGAUAAAGUGGGCUAUUGUGGAAGAUAAAGCUCCUUUGAUGAUAAAUCCUUAGAUUAUUAUUUUUUUUGCCUCUGUAGGGAGUCUGCCACAUGUUCAUGCACUCUCAGAAAAAAAGGUACAAAAACGUUCACUGGGGCGGUACCUUUUCAAAAGCCACACCUUUGUACCUAAAGAGCUCAUAUUGGUAACUUAAAGGUACAUAUUAGUACCUAAAGUGUACUUAUUAGUACCUAAAAGGUACAAAAGUGUACCUUUUGAAAAGGUACCACCUCAGUAACAGUUUUUGUACCUUUUUUUCUGAGAGUGUGGGUCAUGUGUCUGAAUCAGGCUUGACGGGAGGGAGGUCUGCCAUAAUUGUGCAGUGACCUGAAUGGAGUGUGCGAUUCAAAACUGGAAGAGUUUCGCUAACUUGCACAGGACUGUAUUUUUAAGGUCUCUUAUUCCGGCUGAAUAAAAAUAUUAGAAAGAUUAAUCUAACAAAGAUGUGCCAUAUUACACCCUAGAAUGUAAAAACAAACAAACAAACAACAACAAAAAAAACUUUGC